rnacentral:rRNA from 1 species
AGUGAACGCUGGCGGUAGGCCUAACACAUGCAAGUCGAACGGCAGCACCGUAAGAGCUUGCUCUUACGGGUGGAGAGUGGCGGACGGGUGCGGUAUAUAUCGGAAUCUACUUUUUCGUGGGGGCUAACGUAGGGAAACUUACGCUAAUAAAGCAUUCGACCUACGGGUGAAAGCCGGGGAUCUUCGGACCUUGUGCGAUUGAAUGAGCCGAGGUCGGGUUAGCUAGUUGGCGGGGUAAAGGCCCAGCAAGGCGACGAUCCGUAGGUGGUCUGAGAGGAUGAUCAGCCACACGGGAAGAGAGACACGGCCGAGACUCCGACGGGGGGCAGCAGUGGGGAAUAUUGGACAAGGGGCGCGAGCCUGAUCCAGCCAUACCGCGUGAGGGAAGAAGGCCUUCGGGUUGGAAAGUCCUUUUGUUGGGAAAGAAAAGCAGCAGUUUAAUACCCCGCUGUUCUGACGGUACCCAAAGAAUAAGCACCGGCUAACUUCGUG